rnacentral:rRNA from 1 species
UACGUAGGGGGCUAGCGUUGUCCGGAUUUAUUGGGCGUAAAGAGCGUGUAGGCGGCCAGGUAGGUCUGCUGUGAAAACUCGAGGCUCAACCUCGAGAUGUCGGCGGAAACCAUCUGGCUAGAGUCCGGAAGAGGAGAGUGGAAUUCCUGGUGUAGCGGUGAAAUGCGCAGAUAUCAGGAAGAACACCCCGUGGCGAAGGCGGCUCACUGGUCCGGUACUGACGCUGAGGUGCGAAAGCGUGGGGAGCAAACAGG